GAAGUGGUGGAUGAAAGCUGACGAACCCUGGCAGACGCUGGCUUGCUGCAUGGAGGUGGCACAAGCGGUCCGGUCCCCAGACCCCACUGCCUACGUUUCCCACCUGCCGGUUCACCAGAUGUGUACAGGGAGGUGGCAACACAGGUGGAGGAGCUCCGCCAGCAGGACGCUAAGGAGGGUCUCCAGGUGGCUCAGGCGCUGGAGGGCUUCGUCAGCCGCAAGGUGGUGAAGCAGACGGUGAUGACGGUGGUGUACGGGGUCACGCGCUACGGUGGGCGCCUGCAGAUAGAGAAGCGCCUGCGUGAACUCAGCGACUUCCCCCAGGAGUUUGUCUGGGAAGCCUCACACUACCUCGUGCGCCAGGUCUUCAAAAGUCUACAGGAGAUGUUUUCCAGCACCCGGGCCAUUCAGCGCUGGCUGACCGAGAGUGCCAACCUCAUCUCUCACGCGGGCUGGCCUGUGGAGUGGGUCACGCCCCUGGGCAUCCCCAUCAUACAGCCCUAUCACCGGGAUGAUGAACGAGGUAUGCCGCGAACAGUUUGUGCGCCUGCACAGCGAACCCAUUCUGGAAGACCUGGCUAAGUUCCUGGAGAAGCGUUUCUGCUCGGUCUCCAAGUCCCUAAAGCCCUCGGAGCUCGCCCUGAUCACCAAGCUGCAGGAGACACUACGAUCCUUGCCAGAGACAGGUACCUUCGAUCUGGGACAGGUGAUAAGAUCCACCUACUUCUUCAGCUGACCCACGCCGUGCUAUUCCUAAACCUGUGCAUAAUGUAAAUAAAUGAAAGUCUAUGUCUACCU
rnacentral:lncRNA from 1 species